UACGUAGGUGGCGAGCGUUGUCCGGCAUUAUUGGGCGUAAAGGAUGCGUAGGUGGAUAUUUAAGUGGGAUGUGAAAUCCCUGGGCUCAACCCAGGAAUUGCAUUCCAAACUGGGUAUCUUGAGUGUAGGAGAGGAAAGCAGAAUUCCUAGUGUAGAGGUGAAAUUCGUAGAUAUUAGGAGGAAUACCAGUGGCGAAGGCGGCUUUCUGGACUAUAACUGACACUGAGGCAUGAAAGCGUGGGUAGCAAACAGG
rnacentral:rRNA from 1 species